rnacentral:rRNA from 1 species
AGAGUUUGAUCAUGGCUCAGGAUGAACGCUAGCUACAGGCUUAACACAUGCAAGUCGAGGGGAAACGACAUCGAAAGCUUGCUUUUGAUGGGCGUCGACCGGCGCACGGGUGAGUAACGCGUAUCCAACCUGCCCAUCACGUUGGGGAUAACCUUGCGAAAGUAAGACUAAUACCCAAUGACGUCUCUAGAAGACAUCUGAAAGAGAUUAAAGAUUUAAUCGGUGAUGGAUGGGGACUGCGUCUGAUUAGCUUGUUGGCGGGGUAACGGCCACCAAGGCGACGAUCAGUAGGGGUUCUGAGAGGAAGGUCCCCCACAUUGGAACUGAGACACGGUCCAAACUCCUACGGGAGCA